rnacentral:rRNA from 1 species
AUUGAACGCUGGCGGCAGGCCUAACACAUGCAAGUCGAGCGGGGUUUUCGGACCUAGCGGCGGACGGGUGGGUAAUGCGUAGGAAGCUGCCCGAUAGAGGGGGAUACCAGUUGGAAACGACUGUUAAUACCGCAUAAUGUCUACGGACCAAAGUGUGGGACCUUCGGGCCACAUGCUAUCGGAUGCGCCUACGUGGGAUUAGCUAGUUGGUGAGGUAAUGGCUCACCAAGGCGACGAUCUCUAGCUGGUUUGAGAGGAUGAUCAGCCACACUGGAACUGGGACACGGUCCAGACUCCUACGGGAGGCAGCAGUGGGGAAUAUUGGACAAGGGGCGCAAGCCUGAUCCAGCCAUGCCGCGUGUGUGAAGAAGGCCUUCGGGUUGUAAAGCACUUUCAGCGAGGAGGAAGGGUGGUGUGUUAAUAGCACAUCAUUUUGACGUUACUCGCAGAAGAAGCACCGGCUAACUCUGUGCCAGCCGCCGCCGUAAAAC